GGAUGAGCGCGCACCGGUGCCGGCUGCUGCAGGCGUGGAGGGCGCGGAGUGCACCGCUUAUCCCCCUUUAUUCCACCCCCCUUUACAAAUAUUAAUUAACACAAGGAGAAAAAAAAAACAUGCUCAAUAAAGUGGAAUAAUCCUCAAAUAGCGGUUUAACUCGCGAAGAUGCUGACAGACGUGAUCGUGGAGGAGGAAUUCGAGAUCAAGGAGGAAGAACCGUGGUACGACAAGCAGGACCUUGAACAUGACCUGCAGCUGGCGGCCGAGCUGGGCAAGACGCUCCUGGAGAGGAACCGGGAGCUGGAGCAGGGCCUCCAGCAGAUGUACUCCACCAACCAGGAGCAGCUGCAGGAGAUCGAGUACCUGACCAAGCAGGUGGACCUCCUGCGGCAGGUCAACGACCAGCAUGCCAAGGUGUACGAGCAGCUGGACGUCUCGGCCCGAGAGCUGGAGCAGAGCAACCGCAAGCUGGUCCAGGACAACCGGAGCGCCCAGCAGAGGAUCCAGGGCCUGACGGAGACGGUGGAGCUGCUGCAGACGCAGGUGGAGGAGCUGCAGCACCAGGUGGAGGAGAUGAAGCUGAGUCCCUGUCGUCCUCAGAAGCCUCCGCAGAGGGAGCGCUGGCCGCCUCGCAGCGCGCAGAGUGUGUCCUGCCUGCAGGAGCUGCAGAACACACUCAGGCAUGACUCCGAUGCUGACGACCCCCCCGACGACCUUGAGUCCUCCGCGGCGGCGUGGCGCGAGGAGGAGCGGGCGUCGCUGCGGCAGUCCCUCCGUGCCCUGCAGGCCCAGUUCGCCACCGAGCGCGCCCGGAGGGAGGAGGCGGAGCGGGAGGCGGAGCUGCUCGCCGGGGAGAACGCCGCCCUGGAGCAGCAGCUCGCCCACAUGGAGGGCUGCCAGGCCCGAGUGUCGGAGCUGGAGGGUGAAGCCGAGGAGCUGCGUCAGCUCUGGAAGUCCGAGUCCUCCGCCCGGACCGCCGGGCCGGACGUCAUCCACGGCCUGCUGCCGGACGCCGUGUUCCUCCACCCGGAGGAGGACCACGACGGGGAGGCGGCGGCCAAAAGCCCGAAGCGCCGGGGCGGCGACCGGACGGCGAAGGCGGCCGGCCCGGACGACCACGAGUGCUCGUGCGUGCGGCGGGCCGAGGUGGUGAAGUACCGCGGCAUCUCGCUGCUGAACGAGGUGGACGCCCAGUACAGCGCCCUGCUGGUGAAGUACGAGGAGCUGCUGCGGCGCUGCCACCCGGCGCCGGCGCCCGGCGACGGGCCCAGCCACAAGUCGGUGCAGACCGGGUGCCUCGCCGCCGCCCGUCCCGUCCUCGCCGACAUGGAAGACUUUGAGGACGACUUUCACCAGCCGGAGUACAAGGAGCUGUUCAGAGAGAUCUUCUCCCGCAUUCAGAAAACCAAAGAGGACCUGAUUGAAAACAGGGGGGCGGUUUCAGCUGAGGAGGCGCUGCCUGCUUCACAUUAGUGUUUUCUAAGAAAUCAAAAAAGAAAACAGAAAGCUGUCUUCCACUGAACGAUUGAUGUUUUAUUUGCCCAGAAAUGAUCACACAAGUCAGAGCGAUGAAGGAACACCAAGUGCCCGAUUCCACCGGCUCGCGUCUGGAGCGGGGCUCGUUUUUUUUUUUUUUUUUUGCACGGAAACAGCAGUGCCUGACGCCGUCGACUCCACCGUCCCCUCACUCUACCUCACCGUGCGCCGGCAGGGCGAGGAGGACGCGUUUCCGGGCGAACGCUCUCGUGAGACGCUCCCACUUCUGCUCUCAGACGUUCCCUACUUUCUGGAAAGGCACAAAAACAAAUGUGACUGUAAAUAUAGACCCUAUAUCUGCGCUGUUUGGCUUCACUGUAUUGUUUUGGCAGAUCAGAGAUUAAAAUAGGCGGUCCUGACACUUUCUUACAUCCAGUCUAGACCCAGAAAGUCUUAAUAUCGUGCACAGUAGGUGCACAGAGUAUUCGAUUUUAAAGGUUUAUUCUUUCUGAAUAUGAACUUUGACAUAAAGCUCUGUUAACAGUGAUGCAGUGGACUGUAACGCAGACUAAAUUUAUUUCCAGUUUCAGUUCUGAACGAACCAAUUUAUCAACCACAUCCUGUCUGCCUGCAGUGGUUCAAGCUGUCUGCUCAGAUCAAGGCUUCAGCUGUAGUGUGAAGGAACAAAAGCAAUAAAAACAUUGGUUUCUCCACUCGAUGAUGGUUAAAAACUGCUCCAAAAGUGCCCAAAAGGCGUCCCGGCUGUGAGUCUGUGGGGACGGGUCGUCCUGAGCGCUGGCGUUCAGCUCAGAAAUGAGGAAAGCUUCCCGCUGGGAGCGUGGCGGACGUCGUCGCCCUCUUGGAGCCGGUGGCGGGACGAGCUGCUGAGUCUGGCUCUCGGGGCUCCGCUGCCCCCCCCCACUGGGAGGGGCAGGGGUCUCUGGGUCAGGACUGGAUGGUUCCUUUGAGGUACCACAUCCCGCCGUGGCUGCUGCAGCACUCCUGAAACCGCAGAGGGAGAAGUCAGAACGGCGACGAGACGGCGGGAUUGGAGGGGGGGCGGACUCACGGUGAGGAGGCGGUCUACGUCGGCUUUGGGCACGUCGCCCAGCUCCUGGGCCAGUCGGGCCUGAACGACGUUCCUUCUGACCCGGUAGUUCUUGGAGAAGACGUCGUACAGCAGCCGGCGGUGCUGCAGGAGAAACACAAGACAUCUCCAGAAACCCACCAAACAGCAACUUACCUGGGAACUUUACGUAGGCAUGGACAAAAAAACUAUGAUGCUGGUGCUAAAUUACAAGCAUGUUAAUCAGACGCAAAAAAACGGCCGGACUGAUAUUACACUUCAUAGUUUAUAGCUGUUCUCUCUGGAUCAGGAUCACGUUCACAAAGCAAUAAAAGCGGAACUUCAAAUGAAGCGAUAAACUGGAGGGCUGCAGUAAAGGCUGCUAUCAGGCAAAAGCAGCAUCAAUACUUAUAAACCAGCGUAACCAGGAAGGAAAAUACUCAUAAAACAAGCCACUGUCUCCCAUAACCUCACCGGACUGCCACACACUGACACCACAGCCUUCAUGAGAACAAUCUGUGAUGGGUGACUAUGAUCUGUGGCGUUUGAUCGGCCGAUUCCUGCGAACAGGCCAGGCAGGAAGUGCGUACCUUGUCGAAGUCUUCUCCAGUUUCCCACAAGCCGAACACUUUCUGUUCGUCGGAGGCGGCCGUGCUCUGAGCCGGAAACUGAAGUCAGAGAGAGGAAACACGGUGAGGCCGGGUGAACCGAGCUGAUCGGUGAACACUUCAGAGAGCAGCGCGGGAUUCCCCCACGCACACCGAGGACGUGACGAAGGCGGGUGAACACUUUAAUGACCAGAGAGCAGACUGAAGUCUCUGCAGCAGACAACAAUAUACCAGCCGUGUACAAAUAAGAGACAUUUCCACAAGCUAUAAACACAACUUAAAUCAAAUUAAUCAGCUUUGUAUGAAUCUGUGUUUUAGUUUUAGCCUCCAGAAGCUCCGACCCCCCCAGACUGAUCAUCUCUCCCCGCUAACUGGGCACAGACUGACGACCCGCCGCCGCUGAGUUGGCGGCAACCUGGAGUGCGACUCCAGCAGAUCUGGGAUCAGCUGAGUUUUGGAAACGACCUGGAGGCUUAACCCCUCGCUGAGCGCUAAUGAGCUUAGCUUCCAGGCUAAUAAUCUGUUGCGUAACAGUGAUGGCAUCGGCCUGCAGCCUCCAUCGCAGAGCUCGGCGAGGCACGGACCGCGCCGCCGCGUUCCCAGAGAGCCGACACGGCGGCCCGAAAACACACUGCUGCUGUCUAAAUUAAGCAUACAAACAGAAACACACAGCAGAGCCACAGACUGAGGGAUCGGGUGGCUCCUGGGAGCGUAGUGCAACCCGAGAGCCGGCUCCGCGUCGCUUCACUGCGCCUACUCCUUUACGGGCGCUCACAAGCAAAACGACAGUUACAGACGCUAUUCUGUGCAAGAAAUCCGAUAGUGAAGCCCGAGAGGAGAGAAAUCCCCCUUCAUUCGGCGCCGGGUGGCGGUUGGAGGCGCAGUGAGGCCUCCUCUGACACAGAAUCAACCAACAUUACUACAUUUCACCACGGAUGCUCGCUUCCUUUUUUGCGGCUGCGCCGCCCAGCGAUGUGUGAAACUUCUAACAUCCUGCUGCAGCGAGUUUCAAAACGUGUCCCUUUCCUGAUUUCUCACAGGAAAGAGUAGAAAAAAAUCUACAGAAUUGGGUUGAACUCUAGGAAUUGCUCACUCACAGGCACCAGGAUCUGCUUGCAGCGGCUGAGCAGCACGGCGUCCUGCAGCAUGUGGUCGGAGAUGGAGUGGAAGACGCUGCGUCCCGCCGGCAUGGAGGCCAGGUGGAGGUUGAACAGCCGCUUCAGCUCGUUCAGCGUCAGCACGAAGUGCUUCCGGAAAGUCUUUGACACAAAGUCCUGCAGCUCCGCCGAGGCCGUGCCGCCGCCGGUGCCGUUGGCGUGGUCGAAGCCCGGCGAGGCGGCGCCCGGGUAGCCGUUCAGGGAACCGUUGGGGAUGGAGGAGGAGGAGGGGGAGGGGGAGGAGGUGUCCAUGGCCUCCACCUCGCCGUCGUAGACCGGCUCCUGCUUGAUGUGGAAGCCGCUCUCGGCGCGCCUGGCGUCCAGGUCCCUCUGCAGCGACGAGUGGUUGUCCUGCGCCCGCUGCUGGGCCAUCUUCAGACGCUGCUCGCCGCUCACAUGGACGGGUUCUGGAACGACCGGAGGUCAGCAAGCGACGCCAAGGCAUCUCAGCGUUUGAAACGGCUGAUGGAGGAAACUCACCUGGCUGAGAGGAAUUCUUUGGCAUAAAGUCUUCUUUAGAGAAAUUAAACACUUUUUCCAACCUUGAGGGGAAAGACAAGAACAGCCGUUACCCAGACCGCAGUAUCUUUGUUGACACAGUCGAGUCAUACCUUUGUAAUUUUUAGAAUAUUUUCAGUAUAAUUUGCACCUUUUGACACUAAGCAGCAUUGAAACACCUGGACAGGAGGUUCGGGAUGUAACCUACUUGCUCUGGAUGCCGAGCCACAGCAUGUGCUGCCUGUGGGCGACGUCUGGGUGUUUCUUGAUGAAGUCCGCGUCGGUCGGCAGCAGGAACUCCCAGCCGCGGUUGAUCCGAGGCGCCGCCACUUGCUCCAGGAACUCCUUCACGUCCUCCGGGGGAAGCUGAGGGAGGAGAGGACGAGCUGAGAGACGAAGCGCUGCCUGCAGGCGACGGGACGGAGCAGACGCUCCGGCUUCAGGGCGGAGGUUAUGAAAUACUGCGUUGACAGCAUCACAUUAAGAGAGGCGAUAUUAACGAGCAGAGAUCAUCAAGAAUGCACGAACAUCCUCUGUCUACAUGUUGUGUGUGUGUGAGAGCCCUGAGGGACUAAUUUAAAAAGCAACGAGCCUCUCAGGAAACACAUGUCCUCAGACUGUGUGCAUAAAUAAUUCCUUCAGCAUGGCGACUUCCGACGUAGAACCGAUCCUAAAUUAGCAAACGCAUCUGAAAAUUCUCUCCCCGCUCCGUUUGGUCCUUACUUUGAUGAUGGAUGCGAUCUCCUUCCUCAUCACAGACCGCUCCAGAGUGAAUCUCCACAUCUAGAUGAAGGAAAAAUAAAGUAAAUAUUUAUUAAAAAAAAAAAAAAAAAAAGAUGAAAUCCUGAAGCGUGCCAUCACAGAUUACAUUCUGUGCUACAAGGAUAAAAACUGUGGCAGCUCACCACGAAGUCUCGGCCCCGGCAGAGGACUUCAGCCGGGACGCCGCUGUGAGGACUGCAGGUGUUUUUUGGGUACAGGACGUCACUGUCGAGGCGAGAAACACAAAUCAGACUCAUUUAACA